rnacentral:misc_RNA from 1 species
UCUCCGUUGGUGAACCAGCGGAGGGAUCAUUACAGGACUCGCAAGACUCCUUCACCCUGUGAACCUCACUACAAGCACGUUGCUUCGGCGGGUGUCCCGGCGGGGGUUUGCCCUCGCCGGGGCGCACAGCCCGCCGGAAGCCUACUAUACUCUUUCUCUUUGCGUUGUCAUCUCGAGAAAAAACAAACAAGUUAAAACUUUCAACAACGGAUCUCUUGGUUCUG